rnacentral:rRNA from 1 species
GACGAGCCACACAAACGUUAUUCGGAAUUACUGGGCUUAAAGGGUGCGUAGGCGGCGCGGAAAGUUGGGUGUGAAAUCCCUCGGCUCAACCGAGGAAUUGCGCUCAAAACUACCGUGCUCGAGGGAGAUAGAGGAGUGCGGAACUUACGGUGGAGCGGUGAAAUGCGUUGAUAUCGUAGGGAACACCGGUGGCGAAAGCGGCACUCUGGAUCUCUUCUGACGCUGAUGCACGAAAGCUAGGGUAGCAAAC